ACCGUGCCAUGAUUUAAAAAAUAUUCCUCGUUCUGAUCAAAUCCAUGAGGACUUCCUAUACACCCAUAGAAUAUGAGCACA
rfam:Marchantia polymorpha subsp. polymorpha scaffold163, whole genome shotgun sequence.